rnacentral:rRNA from 1 species
AUGCAGGGGCACGCCAGAAGAGGCUCGGUCGUCACCGGCGACUUGGAGAGGAUUGAGCGCUGGGGCUCCUCCCCUGGUUCAAUAUGGAAGAGAGGAGAGGGAGACGAUGGGAGGAAAGAGCGAGGGGAUCAGGCUCCUAUCUCUGCGAGCGCGGCGCCGCAGCUCCGAGAACGUGGCGGGGCGGCAGAGCCGCAGAGGAAGCCGCGAUCCACCAAAUCCUGGUAG